rnacentral:rRNA from 1 species
GACGAACGCUGGCGGCGUGCUUAACACAUGCAAGUCGAGCGGUAAGGCCCUUUCGGGGGUACGACGAGCGGCGAACGGGUAGAGUAACACGUGGGUGACCUGCCCUCAGCUCUGGGAUAAGCCUGGGAAACUGGGUCUAAUACUGGAUAUGACUCCACGGUGCAUGUCGUGGGGUGGAAAGCCUUGUGCGGCUGAGGAUGGGCCCGCGGCCUAUCAGCUUGUUGGUGGGGGAUGGCCUACCAAGGCGACGACGGGUAGCCGGCCUGAGAGGGCGACCGGCCACACUGGGACUGAGACACGGCCCAGACUCCUACGGGAGGCAGCAGUGGGGAAUCUUGCGCAAUGGGCGAAAGCCUGACGCAGCGACGCCGCGUGAGGGAUGACGGCCU